rnacentral:rRNA from 1 species
UGGAAGUAAAAAGUCGUAACAAGGUCUCCGUUGGUGAACCAGCGGAGGGAUCAUUACCGAGUACUAUAACUCAUAACCCUUUGUGAACCUUCAUACCUGUUGCUUCGGCGGCGCGCCUCCCGGGGCGUGCCCGCCGGCAUUAUCAGAAUCUCUGUUCGAACCCGACGAUACUUCUGAGUGUUCUAAGCGAACUGUUAAAACUUUCAACAACGGAUCUCUUGGCUCCAGCAUCGAUGAAGAACGCAGCGAAACGCGAUAUGUAAUGUGAAUUGCAGAAUUCAGUGAAUCAUCGAAUCUUUGAACGCACAUGGCGCCUUCCAGUAUCCUGGGAGGCAUGCCUGUCCGAGCGUCGUUUCAACCCUCGAGCCCCCGUGGCCCGGCGUUGGGGACCUGCCCAGGCAGUCCCCGAAAACCAGUGGCGGACCCGACGGGCCCUUCCUUUGCGUAGUAACAUCUGCCUCGCAUCGGGAGCCCCCGGGCUAUCCGGCCUCUAAACCCCCCUCAAGCCCGCUCCGGCGGCACCAAGGUUGACCUCGGAUCAGGUAGGAAUACCCGCUGAACUUAAGCAUAUCAAUAAGCGGAGGAA